rnacentral:snoRNA from 9 species
CAGAAUGAUGGAAAACAGGAGAUGCCGCACCAGACUGUCCAGAGAAAGAUGUAGCAAAAGAACGCCCAGUAUUGUCUGGAA